GAGUUUGAUCAUGGCUCAGGACGAACGCUGGCGGCGUGCUUAACACAUGCAAGUCGAACGAUGAAGCCUAGCUUGCUAGGUGGAUUAGUGGCGAACGGGUGAGUAAUACGUGAGUGACCUACCUUUGACUCUGGGAUAAGCCUGGGAAACUGGGUCUAAUACCGGAUACGACCAAUCUCCGCAUGGGGUGUUGGUGGAAAGCGUUAUGGAGUGGUUUUAGAUGGGCUCACGGCCUAUCAGCUUGUUGGUGAGGUAAUGGCUUACCAAGGCGACGACGGGUAGCCGGCCUGAGAGGGUGACCGGCCACACUGGGACUGAGACACGGCCCAGACUCCUACGGGAGGCAGCAGUGGGAAUAUUGCACAAUGGGCGCAAGCCUGAUGCAGCGACGCCGCGUGAGGGAUGACGGCCUUCGGGUUGUAAACCUCUGUUAGCAUCGAAGAAGCGAAAGUGACGGUAGGUGCAGAGAAAGCGCCGGCUAACUACGUGCCAGCAGCCGCGGUAAUACGUAGGGCGCGAGCGUUGUCCGGAAUUAUUGGGCGUAAAGAGCUUGUAGGCGGUUGGUCGCGUCUGCUGUGAAAGGCUGGGGCUUAACCCUGGUUUUGCAGUGGGUACGGGCUAACUAGAGUGCAGUAGGGGAGACUGGAAUUCCUGGUGUAGCGGUGGAAUGCGCAGAUAUCAGGAGGAACACCGAUGGCGAAGGCAGGUCUCUGGGCUGUAACUGACGCUGAGAAGCGAAAGCAUGGGGAGCGAACAGGAUUAGAUACCCUGGUAGUCCAUGCCGUAAACGUUGGGCACUAGGUGUGGGGGACAUUCCACGUUUUCCGCGCCGUAGCUAACGCAUUAAGUGCCCCGCCUGGGGAGUACGGCCGCAAGGCUAAAACUCAAAGAAAUUGACGGGGGCCCGCACAAGCGGCGGAGCAUGCGGAUUAAUUCGAUGCAACGCGAAGAACCUUACCAAGGCUUGACAUAUACUGGACUGCGUCAGAGAUGGCGUUUCCCUUCGGGGCUGGUGUACAGGUGGUGCAUGGUUGUCGUCAGCUCGUGUCGUGAGAUGUUGGGUUAAGUCCCGCAACGAGCGCAACCCUCGUUCUAUGUUGCCAGCACGUGAUGGUGGGGACUCAUAGGAGACUGCCGGGGUCAACUCGGAGGAAGGUGGGGAUGACGUCAAAUCAUCAUGCCCCUUAUGUCUUGGGCUUCACGCAUGCUACAAUGGCCGGUACAGAGGGUUGCGAUACUGUGAGGUGGAGCUAAUCCCUAAAAGCCGGUCUCAGUUCGGAUUGGGGUCUGCAACUCGACCCCAUGAAGUCGGAGUCGCUAGUAAUCGCAGAUCAGCAACGCUGCGGUGAAUACGUUCCCGGGCCUUGUACACACCGCCCGUC
rnacentral:rRNA from 1 species